GCUAGAUUCAGUGCCCAUCCUUGUCUUUUCAAAGUUGUCUCCUUUUUUUUUUUUAAAUAUAAGGACAUUACUGUUUUACUUGGUGGCAGAAACUU
rnacentral:snoRNA from 1 species